rnacentral:ncRNA from 1 species
GAAAGCCUUAUGAUGGGAAACUACCACGUUAGGUUUGGAGAGAGAUGGGACCCGUUAUAGUUUAGGGGGAGCAGAUGCAAGCUUUUUCUUUCCAUAGCCGGCCAAAUGACUACUGGAUCAUGAAAAUGAAUCGAAUUGUUGAUUGUGUCAUAAAGGCCCUUAUGCCCACGACCUAAUCUAC